UACGUAGGUGGCAAGCGUUGUCCGGAAUUAUUGGGCGUAAAGCGCACGUAGGCGGCAUCGUAAGUCCGAUGUGAAAGCCCCAGGCUCAACCUGGGAAGUGCAUUGGAUACUGCGGAGCUUGAAUCUGGAAGAGGGUCGCGGAAUUCCCGGUGUAGAGGUGAAAUUCGUAGAUAUCGGGAGGAACACCAGUGGCGAAGGCGGCGACCUGGGCCAAGAUUGACGCUGAGGUGCGAAAGCGUGGGGAGCAAACAGG
rnacentral:rRNA from 1 species